UGAGCAUUUCCCUGAGGACGGUCUACAAACAAACAUCGAGCUGUUGGAUCAUUUUGAAUCUAUGUGAAAGGACGUAAUCAAAUUGUUGAUCUCUACACAAACUACAGUAAUCAUGCAGUGGUACUUGUUCUUUCUUACUGUGAUGGUUCAGAAUCAUCUGAUGGACUGUCAGCUCUAUGAGUUUCACUACAUUAAACAGAAUAAGAACUGGACUGAAGCUCAGCAGUACUGCAGAGAGAAACACACUGACCUGGUCACAGUGACUAACAUGAAGGACAUGAAGAGACUCAUCAGUGUCUCAC